rnacentral:ncRNA from 1 species
ACACAAAGUUUUGGUCCUAAACUUGCCGUUGUUUUUUAUCAAAAUUAUACAUGCAAGCCUCUACACACCAGUGAGAAUGCCCACACCCCCUAAAAAGAAAGCCGGAGCAGGCAUCAGGAUACAACACCCAUUAGCCAAAAACGCCUUGCACAUGCCACACCCACAAGGGACCUCAGCAGUAAUUAACAUUAAAACAUGAGCGAAAGCUCGACUUAGUCAUGGUAACUACUGGUCGGUAAAUUUCGUGCCAGCCACCGCGGUUAUACGAAAGACCAAAGACAACGACCAACGGCGUAAAGCGUGACCCGGGACACCAAACAAACAUUAAAGGAAAACAAUUGCCAAGCCGUAAAACACUACUGCACAUUAGAAUUACAACAAUGCCUUUAACCCUCUUCCCCCUUCACGAAAACUAAGAAACAAACUGGGAUUAGAUACCCCACUAUGCUUAGCCCUAAACACAGAUAAUAAAAACACAAUAUUAUUCGCCAGAGAACUACAAACGAAAAGCUUGAAACUCCAAGGACUUGGCGGUGCUUCAAACCAAUCUAGAGGAGCCUGUCCUAUAAUCGAUACCCCACGUUUCACCUUACCCCUCCUAGUAAAUCAGCCUAUAUACCGCCGUCGUCAGCCUACCUUAUGAAAGAAACAUAGUAAGCAAAAAAGUUCUCAACAAACACGACAGGUCAAGGUGUAGCACACGGAGCGGCAGAGAUGGGCUACAUUUUCUCAAAGACAAACACGAAUAGAAAAUUGAAACACACACUUGAAGGCGGAUUUAGUAGUAAAAUAAACAAGAAUACUUAUUUUAAACCUGCUCUGAAGCGCGCACACACCGCCCGUCACCCUCAUCC